rnacentral:rRNA from 1 species
UCAUCUUCGGGGGUAGAGCACUGUUUCGGCUAGGGGGUCAUCCCGACUUACCAACCCGAUGCAAACUACGAAUACCGAAGAAUGUUAUCACGGGAGACACACGGCGGGUGCUAACGUCCGUCGUGAAGAGGGAAACAACCCAGACCGCCAGCUAAGGUCCCAAAGUCAUGGUUAAGUGGGAAACGAUGUGGGAAGGCACAGACAGCCAGGAUGUUGGCUUAGAAGCAGCCAUCAUUUAAAGAAAGCGUAAUAGCUCACUGGUCGAGUCGGCCUGCGCGGAAGAUGUAACGGGGCUAAACCAUGCACCGAAGCUGCGGCAGCGACACUAUGUGUUGUUGGGUAGGGGAGCGUUCUGUAAGCCUGCGAAGGUGGCCUGUGAGGGUUGCUGGAGGUAUCAGAAGUGCGAAUGCUGACAUAAGUAACGAUAAAGCGGGUGAAAAGCCCGCUCGCCGGAAGACCAAGGGUUCCUGUCCAACGUUAAUCGGGGCAGGGUGAGUCGACCCCUAAGGCGAGGCCGAAAGGCGUAGUCGAUGGGAAACAGGUUAAUAUUCCUGUACUUGGUGUUACUGCGAAGGGGGGACGGAGAAGGCUAUGUUAGCCGGGCGACGGUUGUCCCGGUUUAAGCAUGUAGGCGGAGGUUCCAGGUAAAUCCGGUACCUUUUAACGCUGAGGUGUGAUGACGAGGCACUACGGUGCUGAAGUAACAAAUGCCCUGCUUCCAGGAAAAGCCUCUAAGCAUCAGGUAACAU